UUGGAAGUCUUUGCAUUGACCUUAGUUUUCAGAUGUAGCAGCCUAAUUUUUAUCAGAUUAUACCAUAAAAUCAAAAGUAGACUUGUAGAUCUUUUUAAAACAAGGCAUGAAAUAUUAAUUUAAAUAAUAUAAAUUAAACAAAUAGCCUAAAUAACAACUACACAAAGUUAAAGUCAUAAUAACUUUUUAUAAAGGUAUCUUGAAUUUCAACUGGAGGUAGUUUUGAUAAAUAUUAGUAUUCUGAACAUUAAAAUAGGUAGACUUAACAUACAUUUGUUCUGAAAACAUAUUUAGAAAUUGGUUUUAAAAAAUGAGGUUAGGAUUGGGGUGAUAACUAGUUGAGGAUUAGAUAUGAUAUUCAUUGUGUUUAUCCAUGUUGUAAUUUCUCUUUUACAGGUUCAUCCAAAAAAAAGGGAAGAUCUGAUUUUUACCAGUAAUAAGACUACAGCAUACUAAAUGACACAAGAUGUUCUUUCUCUAUUACCUCUUACAUUUGACAUAAAAGUAGGAAAAGGUUUAACAGUCUAUGCCUACAACAUAGAUCUCCAGGACUAAAAGUACACAAAAUGGCAAUCAGUAUAUCACAAGUGUAAUAACACAUGCAUCUAAUCUGCCUCAGUGGCGAGAACUGGGUGAAUCCUCUCAAACAUUAAUCAGGAACUAGGCAUACCUAAUGAGCGCCAAGCUGAUACAGUAGAUGUACAGAAGAGUUUAUACACAAGGAAGUGAAAAGUGAUGUAAAAGGCAACUAAUACUUCCAUCUACCAUAGUUAAACAAGAAUCUGCAAAUGGUGAUAAUUGCAAUAAUCUUGAUAUAUUAAUGUUUGGCUUUAUAAUUAUAUGCAAUUGUUUCAUAAAUAAAUUAUUUCUCAAAAUU